UACGUAGCAGCAAGCGUUGUUCGGAGUUACUGGGCGUAAAGGGUGCGUAGGCGGUCCUAUAAGUAUGGUGUGAAAUCUCCCGGCUUAACUGGGAGGGUGCGCUAUAGACUGUGGGACUAGAGUGUGGGAGAGGAAAGUGGAAUUCCUGGUGUAGCGGUGAAAUGCGUAGAUAUGCGGAGGAACACCGAUGGCGAAGGCAAUCCCCCUGGGCCUGCACUGGACCGCUCAUGCACGAAAGCGUGGGGAGCAAACAGGA
rnacentral:rRNA from 1 species